CUUUUCAAGUCUUCGUGCACAUACUCGUGGGUGGUGGGGGUGUCUGAAAAUAUAUGACAAGGAUCAGCAGUGUUUCCAUCCAAUAUGUGACCCCCCAAAGGGGAAAGUGUGAUAUGACUGUCCUGCUAGCUCAGGGGUCAUGUUCCUAAGCAGAAGCAGAACUGGAGCAUGAUAGGAAGAAGAAGCACAAGAAACCUAUCAGUUCAUGUGCUGGAAUGGAAAACGAGAAAGCAGAGGAAUAAAAAUCUCUGAGUGACAGAGAAAUUAGCUCAGCACAGCUCUGCUUCACUCUUCACUGUCCAGUAACAGGCCAGGGCAGGUCCAGGUGUACCUGCACUCAGAGGAAGUGGUUUGGAUAAUGAUUGCCAUUAGACUGAGGACACCUAGCAGAAAAUAAGCCAAACUAAUUCUAAGUACUUGGCAAUCCUGACAGUCGUCUAUCUUCUGCUCCACUUCCUAUGAUUUCACGAUGAUAUUACUUUUGACCACAGAUUCAGAGCUGUGAUAGAAUUGACAGGCAUGUACAAUUACAUGCAUGUUUCAUGCUGAUGCCCCCUUAGCAACUUGGCUGGGAAGCCCCCACUUGGUAAUGGAUGUGCACAUCUCAAAUUUAAAUAUGGUAAAUUUUGCUUAUUACGAGGAUGUUAAAAAAAAACUUGUAAAUUGAUUGCUAAUGACUUUAUAUACAUUUUAAUUCAUACUUUGAAUAUAUUUUUUGACCUUGAUUUGACUUGCUUUCAGCCUUUUGCAGUCCUUGCAUUGAGAUUAGAAGACUGCUUAGUUAGACUGCACUGUUCUUUGUCAGAGGCCUGUGUACAUGUUAAGACUGAAUGGACAGAAAUAGGUAAAAAAAGUUCUCAUUUACUUACAGUAAUCUGUGUAUUUAAUAUUUUUUCUUGUAUUCAGCUUUAAUUUUGUAUGUAACCUAGGCAUCUUCUAGGUCAAUCCCCCUUUAUUUCCAUAAUAUAUCCAGUGCCUUGAAAAAGUAUCCAUUCCCCUCGAAAUGUUUCAAUAUUUGUCAUGAGAAGUGUGUAUAUAAAUCCGCGCAAUAGAAAGGAAAACUCCAAUGCCAGUGGGAAAUGUAUAUAUAAAAAUGGGGUUUGACGCCCAGCAAUGAAUUUUAUAAAGCAGCUGGCUCUACAUAUUUAGUUCCACCAAAGUGGAGUAAUUGAUUGGAUAGAGUUAGAAAGUAGAAGUGGCGAUAAUUUAAUAAAUUCAUAAAAUACUGAGGGUUGGAAUGUAUUGCAAUGUGAAAAUAUAAAUAAUAAAAGACUUGUGGUACCUAUAAAAUAGCGUCUAUA